AUUGAACGCCGGCGGCAUGCCUUACACAUGCAAGUCGAACGGUAACGCGGGGCAACCUGGCGACGAGUGGCGAACGGGUGAGUAAUGUAUCGGAACGUGCCCAGUUGUGGGGGAUAACUGCUCGAAAGAGCAGCUAAUACCGCAUACGACCUGAGGGUGAAAGCGGGGGAUCGCAAGACCUCGCGCAAUUGGAGCGGCCGAUAUCAGAUUAGGUAGUUGGUGGGGUAAAGGCUCACCAAGCCAACGAUCUGUAGCUGGUCUGAGAGGACGACCAGCCACACUGGGACUGAGACACGGCCCAGACUCCUACGGGAGGCAGCAGUGGGGAAUUUUGGACAAUGGACGCAAGUCUGAUCCAGCCAUGCCGCGUGCGGGAAGAAGGCCUUCGGGUUGUAAACCGCUUUUGUCAGGGAAGAAACGCUCUGGGUUAAUACCUCGGGGUAAUGACGGUACCUGAAGAAUAAGCACCGGCUAACUACGUGCCAGCAGCCGCCGCCGUAA
rnacentral:rRNA from 1 species